AUGAAAACAAUAGGCAGCAGCAGGAUCCAGAGUACCGCGAGACACGAGAAACCUUGCGGGAAGUCGGGGGGACCACCCCCCAAGGCUAAAUACUCCUUAGUGACCGAUAGCGCAUAGUACUGUGAAGGAAAGGUGAAAAGGACCCCGGGAGGGGAGUGAAAAAGAACCUGAAACCCUGUGUUUACAAGCUGUGGAAGCACGUUAAGGUGCGACCGCGUACUUUUUGUAGAACGGUCCGGCGAGUUGCGGAUGCUGGCAAGGUUAAGCACUUAAGGUGCGGAGCCGAAGAGAAAUCAAGUCUUAAUAGGGCGUCAAGUCAGCAUGUGCAGACCCGAAACCGGGUGACCUAUCCAUGUCCAGGUUGAAGUUCCCGUAAAAGGGAAUGGAGGACCGAACGCACAUCCGUUGAAAAGGGUGGCGAUGAGGUGUGGAUAGGGGAGAAAUUCCAAUCGAACCCGGAGAUAGCUGGUUCUCCUCGAAAUAGCUUUAGGGCUAGCCUCGUAUUAGUCUGCUGGAGGUAGAGCACUGAAUUUCCUAGGGGGCGUCAAAGUCUACCGAAGAAUAUCAAACUCCGAAUGCCAGACAGAUGAUGUACGGGAGUCAGACUGCACGAGAUAAGUUGGGUAGUCAAAAGGGAAAGAGCCCAGACCUACAGCUAAGGUCCCAAAGUGUGUGUUAAGUGGAAAAGGAUGUGGGAUUUCAAAGACAACUAGGAUGUUGGCUCAGAAGCAGCCACACAUUCAAAGAGUGCGUAAUAGCUCACUAGUCGAGAGGUCCUGCGCCGAAAAUGUCCGGGGCUAAAACACAACACCGAAGCUUAGGAAUCAUAUUCAUAUGAUUGGUAGAGGAGCAUUCUAUACGGAGCGAAGCAGUACCGGCAAGGAGCUGUGGACUGUAUAGAAGAGAGAAUGCCGGAAUGAGUAGCGAGAUGGAGGUGGGAAUCCUCCAGGCCGAAUAUCUAAGGUUUCCAGAGUAAAGCUGAUCUGCUCUGGGUAAGUCGGGGCCUAAGGCGAGGCUGAAAAGCGUAGUCGAUGGACAACAGGUUGAAAUUCCUGUACUGCAUAUCAUCAGAACUGUGGGGACACAGAACCGAAGUCAAACCCGGGAAUGAAAAGACCGGGGCAAGCGUAGGACUGGUUAGGCUGGCAAAUCCGCUUAACAACAGGAGGACGUGACGCGUAGCGAACAUUAGUAGCGAAGUUGGCGUAGGGGCUGUCAAGAAAAGCCGCUAUUGCGUGAUAUGUACCCGUACCGUAAACCGACACAGGUGGAUGAGGAGAGAAUCCUAAGGCCGGCGGGAGAAGCAUUGUUAAGGAACUCGGCAAAAUGACCCUGUAACUUCGGGAUAAAGGGUGCCCACGAGAGUGGGCCGCAGAGAAUAGGCUCAAGCAACUGUUUAGCAAAAACACAGGUCUAUGCAAAACCGUAAGGUGAGGUAUAUGGGCUGACGCCUGCCCGGUGCUGGAAGGUUACGAGGAGAGGUUAGCGCAAGCGAAGCUUUGAAUC
rnacentral:rRNA from 1 species